GACUACGGCCAUGCCACUUUGGACAAGCCCAAUCCUGUCUGAUCUUGGAAGCUAAGCAGAGUUGGGCUUGGUUAGUACUUGAAUGGGAGACCACCUAGGAAGACCAGGUGCUGUAGGCU
rnacentral:rRNA from 1 species